UUAAGAGAAUAAAAAAAUUAAAUUUUGAAUGACAAAUGUAAACAUCUGAUCGUUUGACUUGACACGUGACACGAUCCUAUGAGUUAUAAACUUUGAAAACCAUACUUUAUAUAAUAAGAUAUCAGACAUACUUAGAUGAUUCUUCUGUUUGCUGUAGGAAUGUUGCAUCUAUCUAUAUACUAAGAAGCAAAAUG
rnacentral:sRNA from 1 species